AAAUUGAAGAGUUUGAUCAUGGCUCAGAUUGAACGCUGGCGGCAGGCCUAACACAUGCAAGUCGAACGGUAACAGGAAGCAGCUUGCUGCUUUGCUGACGAGUGGCGGACGGGUGAGUAAUGUCUGGGAAACUGCCUGAUGGAGGGGGAUAACUACUGGAAACGGUAGCUAAUACCGCAUAACGUCGCAAGACCAAAGAGGGGGACCUUCGGGCCUCUUGCCAUCGGAUGUGCCCAGAUGGGAUUAGC
rnacentral:rRNA from 1 species